AUUGAACGCUGGCGGCAUGCUUUACACAUGCAAGUCGAACGGCAGCACGGGUGCUUGCACCUGGUGGCGAGUGGCGGACGGGUGAGUAAUACAUCGGAACGUGUCCUGAAGUGGGGGAUAACGCAUCGAAAGAUGUGCUAAUACCGCAUAUACUCUGAGGAGUAAAGUAGGGGAUCGAAAGACCUUAUGCUUUUGGAGCGGCCGAUGUCUGAUUAGCUAGUUGGUGGGGUAAUUGCCCACCAAGGCGACGAUCAGUAGUUGGUCUGAGAGGACGACCAGCCACACUGGGACUGAGACACGGCCCAGACUCCUACGGGAGGCAGCAGUGGGGAAUUUUGGACAAUGGGCGCAAGCCUGAUCCAGCAAUGCCGCGUGAGUGAAGAAGGCCUUCGGGUUGUAAGACUCUUUCUAUUGGGAGAAAGGCUGUUUGGUUAAUACCCAAGCAGA
rnacentral:rRNA from 1 species